UACGGAGGAUGCGAGCGUUAUCCGGAUUUAUUGGGUUUAAAGGGUGCGUAGGCGGAUCGUUAAGUCAGUGGUCAAAUUGAGGGGCUCAACCCCUUCCCGCCAUUGAAACUGGCGAUCUUGAGUGGAAGAGAAGUAUGCGGAAUGCGUGGUGUAGCGGUGAAAUGCAUAGACAUCACGCAGAACCCCGAUUGCGAAGGCAGCAUGCCGGCUUCCUACUGACGCUGAAGCACGAAAGCGUGGGGAUCGAACAGG
rnacentral:rRNA from 1 species